GCCGAAGCCAGCGGUGGAAGUAGCCGAAGCGGACGGAGCGGGUGGCAAGGCGAGGCGAAAGCUGCACAGGGCCCUACGCGGCCGCCUCAGCAUGUGGGACUUCGACGAGUUCGAGCGGCAGCUCAACGAGAAUAAACAAGAGCGGGACAAGGAGAACCGGCAUAGGAAGCGCAGCCACAGCCGCUCUCGAAGCCGGGACCGCAAACGCCGGAGCUGGAGCCGUGACCGGCGCAACCGGGACCAGCGGAGCGCCUCCCGGGACAGGCGGCGACGAAGCAAACCUUUGACCAGAGGCGCUAAAGAGGAGCACGGUGGACUGAUUCGUUCCCCCCGCCAUGAGAAGAAGAAGAAGGUCCGUAAAUACUGGGACGUGCCACCUCCGGGCUUUGAGCACAUCACCCCAAUGCAGUACAAGGCCAUGCGAGCUGCGGGUCAGAUUCCAGCCACUGCUUUUCUCCCCACCAUGACCCCUGACGGUCAGGCUGUGACCCCAACGCCGGUGCCCGUGGUCGGGAGCCAGAUGACUAGACAAGCCCGGUGCCUCUACGUGGGCAACAUCCCCUUUGGCAUCACUGAGGAGGCCAUGAUGGAUUUCUUCAACGCCCAGAUGCGCCUGGGGGGGGCUGACCCAGGCCCCUGGCAACCCGGUGUUGGCUGUGCAGAUUAACCAGGACAAGAAUUUUGCCUUUUUGGAGUUCCACUCAGUGGACGAGACUACCCAGGCCAUGGCCUUUGAUGGCAUCAUCUUCCAGGGCCAGUCACUAAAGAUCCGCAGGCCUCGUGACUACCAGCCGCUUCCUGGCAUGUCAGAGAACCCCUCCGUCUAUGUGCCUGGGGUUGUGUCCACUGUGGUCCCUGACUCUGCCCACAAGCUGUUCAUCGGGGGCUUACCCAACUACCUGAACGAUGACCAGGUCAAAGAGCUGCUGACAUCCUUUGGGCCCCUCAAGGCCUUCAACCUGGUCAAGGACAGUGCCUCGGGGCUCUUCAAGGGCUACGCCUUCUGUGAGUACGUGGACAUCAACGUCAUGGAUCGGGCCAUUGCGGGGCUGAACGGCAUGCAGCUGGGGGAUAAGAAGCUGCUGGUCCAGAGGGCAAGUGUGGGAGCCAAGAAUGCCACGCUGAGCACCAUGAAUCAGACGCCGGUGACCCUGCAAGUGCCGGGCCUGAUGAGCUCCCAGGUGCAGAUGGGCGGCCACCCGACUGAGGUCCUGUGCCUCAUGAACAUGGUGCUGCCGGAGGAGCUGCUGGACGACGAGGAGUACGAGGAGAUCGUGGAGGACGUGCGGGACGAGUGCAGCAAGUACGGGCUUGUCAAGUCCAUCGAGAUCCCCCGGCCUGUGGACGGUGUCGAGGUGCCCGGCUGGGGAAAGAUCUUUGUAGAGUUCACCUCUGUGUUUGACUGCCAGAAAGCCAUGCAGGGCCUGACGGGCCACAAGUUCGCCAACAGAGUGGUUGUCACAAAAUACUGUGACCCCGACUCUUAUCACCGCCGGGACUUCUGGUAGAGGCGGCUGGGGGAGGGUGGGGGCAGGGCUGGCUGGGGGCUUCUCCCCACUCCCGCCCCCCCCCCUUAUCCCCCUCUGAAGACGAUGGGCAGAGGAGUGACAGCCGCAGACACACGACAGCCGGCAGCAACUGGAAUGGCAGCAAUUAAGGGUGGGGGACUGGGGUUGGGGGGUUAGGGCAGGGAGGGGACUGGGGAAGUGCGCACACAGCCCACACAGACAACACUCACCCACAAAGACACCGAGGGAAGGGUUUGGGAUGGGGACAGGGUGCACAGCAGGGCGGGGUAGGACCCCAGCCCCUCCCAAAACAGCCUCUCCUUCUCCCUUAGACCCCCUUUCUCUUCCCCUUCCCCACGGUAGGAACAUAGCGUGUUUAUAUUUUAUGGCCAAACUAUUUUGAAUUUUGUUGUCCGGCCCUCAGUGCCCUGCCCUCUCCCUUCUCAGGACCACAGCUCUGUUCCUUCGGCAUCUGGACCUCUCUGGUCCCCUCCUGGGUUUCUUACGUAGUUGAUUUUUCCUCUUUAGUCUCCCCCGACCUGCGCCCAGCCCCGUGGCCCCUGCCCCUCUCCUACUCUCUGUGGCAGUUUCAUAUUUGCCAAGACGAAUUUGCUCAUUAAACAUUUUGUUGUAUUUUACUUAAAA